rnacentral:rRNA from 1 species
AGAGUUUGAUCCUGGCUCAGGAUCAACGCUGGCGGCGUGCCUAAUGCAUGCAAGUCGCACGGACAGUCUUCGGACUGCCAGUGGCGAACGGCUGAGGAACACGUGCGUAUCUGCCUUCUCGUGGGGAAUAACGGGUGGAAACACCCGCUAAUACCGCGUACGCUCACGUGUGUGAGGAAAGCCUUCGGGCGCGGGGAGAGGAGCGCGCGGCCCAUCAGGUUGAUGGCGGGGUAAUGGCCCACCAUGCCGGUGACGGGUCGCUGGUCUGUGAGGAUGGCCAGCCAGACUGGGACUGCGACACGGCCCAGACACCUACGGGUGGCAGCAGCAAGGAAUCUUCCCCAAUGGGCGCAAGCCUGAGGGAGCAACGCCGCGUGGAGGAUGACGGCCUUCGGGUUGUAAACUCCUUUUCUCAGGGACGAGAGGGACGGUACCAGCAGAAGAAGCACCGGCUAACUACGUGCCAGCAGCCGCGGUAAUACGUAGGUGGCAAGCGUUGUCCGGACUUACUGGGCGUACAGCGCGCGCAGGCGGUGCCAUAUGUGCCCGGUGACAUCUGCUCGCUUAACGAGCAGCGGCCCGGGUAGACAGUGGCGCUGGAGGCAGGGAGAGGGAUGUGGAAUACCCGGUGGAGCGGUGAAAUGCGUAGAGAUCGGGUGGAACACCAGCGGCGAAGGCGGCAUCCUGGCCCUGAACUGACGCUGAGGCGCGAUAGCGUGGGGAGCAAACGGGAUUAGAUACCCCGGUAGUCC